rnacentral:rRNA from 1 species
AGCGUUGUUCGGAAUUACUGGGCGUAAAGGGCGCGUAGGCGGCCUGCUCAGUCGAACGUGAAAUCCCCGGGCUCAACCCGGGAACUGCGUCCGAUACUGGUAGGCUUGAAUUCGGGAGAGGGAUGCGGAAUUCCAGGUGUAGCGGUGAAAUGCGUAGAUAUCUGGAGGAACACCGGUGGCGAAGGCGGCAUCCUGGACCGACAUUGACGCUGAGGCGCGAAAGCCAGGGGAGCAAACGGG